UACGGAGGGUGCGAGCGUUAUCCGGAAUUACUGGGUUUAAAGGGUGCGUAGGCGGCCAGGUAAGUCAGGAGUGAAAGUUUGCGGCUCAACCGUAAAAUUGCUUUUGAUACUGCCAGGCUAGAAUUAGGAUGAGGUCAGCGGAAUGUGGCAUGUAGCGGUGAAAUGCAUAGAUAUGCCAUAGAACACCAAUUGCGAAGGCAGCUGGCUAGACCUGGAUUGACGCUGAGGCACGAAAGCGUGGGGAGCGAACGGG
rnacentral:rRNA from 1 species